CCUACGGUUGGCAGCAGUGGGGAAUAUUGGACAAUGGGCGAAAGCCUGAUCCAGCCAUGCCGCGUGUGUGAAGAAGGCCUUCGGGUUGUAAAGCACUUUCAGUGGGGAAGAAAGCCUUGGGGUUAAUACCCUCGAGGAAGGACAUCACCCACAGAAGAAGCACCGGCUAACUCCGUGCCAGCAGCCGCGGUAAUACGGAGGGUGCGAGCGUUAAUCGGAAUUACUGGGCGUAAAGCGCGCGUAGGCGGUCUGAUAAGCCGGUUGUGAAAGCCCCGGGCUCAACCUGGGAACGGCAUCCGGAACUGUCAGGCUAGAGUGCAGUAGAGGAGGGUAGAAUUCCCGGUGUAGCGGUGAAAUGCGUAGAGAUCGGGAGGAAUACCGGUGGCGAAGGCGGCCUUCUGGACUGACACUGACGCUGAGGUGCGAAAGCGUGGGUAGCAAACAGGAUUAGAUACCCUUGUAGUC
rnacentral:rRNA from 1 species